GCAGUGGUGGUUCAGUGGUAGAAUCCUUGCCUUCCAUGCAGAAGACCCAGGUUCGGUUCCCAGCCAGUGCA
rnacentral:tRNA from 1 species